rnacentral:rRNA from 1 species
CCUACGGGUGGCAGCAGUGAGGAAUAUUGGUCAAUGGCCGGGAGUCUGAACCAGCCAAGUAGCGUGAAGGAUGACUGCCCUAUGGGUUGUAAACUUCUUUUAUAUGGGAAUAAAACGUUCCACGUGUGGGAUUUUGUAUGUACCAUAUGAAUAAGGAUCGGCUAACUCCGUGCCAGCAGCCGCGGUAAUACGGAGGAUCCGAGCGUUAUCCGGAUUUAUUGGGUUUAAAGGGAGCGUAGGUGGAUUGUUAAGUCAGUUGUGAAAGUUUGCGGCUCAACCGUAAAAUUGCAGUUGAAACUGGCAGUCUUGAGUACAGUAGAGGUGGGCGGAAUUCGUGGUGUAGCGGUGAAAUGCUUAGAUAUCACGAAGAACUCCGAUUGCGAAGGCAGUUCACUGGACUGCAACUGACACUGAGGCUCGAAAGUGUGGGUAUCAAACAGGAUUAGAUACCCCUGUAGUC